rnacentral:rRNA from 2 species
UACAGAGGUCUCAAGCGUUGUUCGGAUUCAUUGGGCGUAAAGGGUGCGUAGGUGGUGGCGCAAGUCUGGUGUGAAAUCUCGGAGCUCAACUCCGAAAUUGCACCGGAUACUGCGUUACUCGAGGACUGUAGAGGAGAUCGGAAUUCACGGUGUAGCAGUGAAAUGCGUAGAUAUCGUGAGGAAGACCAGUUGCGAAGGCGGAUCUCUGGGCAGUUCCUGACACUGAGGCACGAAGGCCAGGGGAGCAAACGGG